rnacentral:lncRNA from 1 species
GUCUGUGGGGAACUGGGGCGCUGGUCGGUGCGCGGGCUGGGACGCUAAGUCAUGAGGAAUUAAACUGGGAAACCUGGCGUGGGUCCAGGCGCCUUCCAGGAGGCAUCCGGCGCGGCCCGGACGUGCUUCUACCCAGAACCACCCCCUCCAGGCCGGGGUGCACUUAACGGGGCUAUACAAAGAGUCUGGUGGGUGACUGUGGGCCUCAUCCCUAUCCCGGGGUCUGAUAGGGAAGACUCUCGGGCCCCGCAGGGAAUAUCUGGCUAGUGCACCCUCGGCGGGAGCGCCACUCUCCCUCCUUGGGCGGCGCCCCCCACCUCUCAUCCCGCCCAAUCCGUUUUGCAAAGUCGGCCAAAACAAAAACAAACUUGGAGCGCUGAUAGACACUGUUAUUGCCCAUCUGAACUCGUCAACUGAGAAGGAAAGAGAUGGUUUAUGCUGUGAAUAAAAUACAGUUGUGCUGUGAUGUAAAUCCCCUCAUCCUGGAGCAGCUGAGCAAGGUCUAAGGCAGGAAGAACCUUCAAGCAGGUCAUGGCUGUAAGCCUCCUGAGUUUAUCCCAGCAAGUUGUAUAAGGGAUUAUCUUUUUAUCUGCAUAUUAUGACAUAUGUGAGGAUGUGUAAAGGUUUGGCAAGCACUGGCCUACUCAACAGCCAGUCCUACCUAACUUCAGAAAUCUUUCUUGUGGGCAAAUGUCAGGAGAUAGGGCCCAGGCCCAGGUCCAGCUACAAAGAAUGAAUACAAUUAAAGUGCUACUUCCAUUCACCUCACCCCAGAUUAGUUUAGGCAAGAGCUCAGGAUGCAGUUUUGACAUUUGAAAGAUAAGGAGUAGUCUGCUGGGAGCCUGAUAAAUUGAAACAGGGAUGGCACAGUUCUAAAUAUUAUUAAAUAAUAGUAAUAAUAUUAAGUAUUACUGAGGAUGUGACACUUCUGAUUGCUGCAGCCAUUGUAACGUGAGGCAAGCCAACCUACAGAGAAGGUAGAAAUGCUGAUAUUGGUGCAGGAGGAAUUUCAAAAGAAUCUGGAUCCUCAGUGUUAUAAAUGAGCCUCUGAUUUGGCCAGCCCUGGAGCUGACCUAAGCUGAGCUGAGGUUUUCACUUGUUUGCAACAGAAAGCAUCAUGACUGAUAAUGUUUCUCCUGUGCUUAUCUUCAGGAUAGAGACCAAAUCUUGGGUAUCAUCAUUGCCUUAGUACCUAGCACAGUGUUACACACACAGUAAAUGCUUGCUUACUAAAAGUAGGGAUGGCAGGAAAGUGAAGGAAAGUUCUAGGAACUGAAGUAAACUCUCUUCAUACGUAGAUAUCACUUGCUUUAUUUAAAACCAGUUUAUCAACAUCUAGAUUACAUUUAUGUAAUCUAGAUUUAUUUAUUACCAUAUUACAAUUAUGAUAAAGAGAUUUCUCAAUUUACAAAAGAAUAUAUGUCUUGACCAUGGAUUAAUUUAACUAUGUUCACUAGUAUGUAAAAUAUAUUUUCCUGCAGCCAUAAAAAGGAAUGAGAUCAUGUCCUUUGCAGGAACAUGGAUGGAGCCAGAAGCCUUUAUCCUCAGCAAACUAACGCAGGAACAGAAAACCAAACACUGCAUGUUCUCACUUAUAAGUGGGAGCUAAACAAUGAGAACACAUGGACAUGAAGAGGGGAACAACACACACUGGGGGAUUACUUGAGGGUGUAGGGUGAGAGGACAGAAGAUCAAAAAACUACCUAUCAGGUACUACACUUGUUACCUGGGUGGUGAAAAAAUCUGUACACACCAAACCCCAGAGACACACAGUUUACCUAUAUAACAAACUUGCACAUGUAUCCCUAAACCUAAAAUAAUAGUUUGAAAAAAGUGUGGUGUAUAUAUCAUAAUAUAUACACAUAAAUAGAUACACACACACACACACACACACACACACACACACACAUACACACAUACAUACCAUAAAAUAGACCCAGGAAGGGGAACAACACACACUGGGGCCUGUAGCGGGGAAGGGUGGGGAGAGGGAGAGCAUCAGGAGAGCUAAUGGAUGCUGGGCUUAAUACCAUGGUGAUGGGUUGAUCUGUGCAGCACACCACCAUAGCACACAUUUACCUGUGUAACAAACCUGCACAUCCUACACAUAUACCUGGGAGCUUAAAAGUUGAAGGAAAAAAUAAUAAAAUAUAUUUUCAUCCACACAACUCAGAAGCAAUUGAGUUCACCAUCAAAAUCUUUAGUUUUCUGUUGCAUUACCAAAGAAGUAUUAGAAUUUCGGCAGAGUCUAGACCAGGUACGGUGGCUCACGCCUGUAAUCCCAGCAGUUUGGGAGGCCAAGGCGGGUGGAUCACCUGAGGUCAGGAGUUUGAGACCAGGCUGGCAAACAUGGUGAAACCACAUCUCUACCAAAAAUACGAAAUUAGCUGAGUGUGGUGGCAGGUGCCUGUAAUCCCAGCUACUCUGGAGGCUGAGGCAGGAGAAUCACUUGAACCCAGGAGGCAGAGGUUGCAGUGAGCUGAGAUCAUGCCACUGCACUCCAGCCUAGGCGACAAGAGCAAGACCCCAUCUCAAAAAAUAUAUAUAUAUAUAUAUAUAUAUAUAUAUAUAUAUAUUUCAGCAGAGUCUUAAAAAAAUUCCCCCUGAACUUCUUGAAAUUCAUGGAUCUCUUCCAACCUGCUUGGUAAUUUUAAGAAGAUUGCUGUAAGACUCCUACAAAAAAUAUAUGUAUUUCUUAGAUUUUCUAUCUAGAGAGGGAACUCUCUUCAGUUUGAGACUCCUUCAGUGAUAUUAAAAUUUGGGGAAGGGUCUAAAAAGUCUUCAUCGUUCUAAAAAGCCUUCCUUCAAAGUUUUUAUACCCCCAAGCUACCACACUAUUUCCAUUUCUUAACCAUCUAGCUUCUUAGAAGGGUAGUCCCCAUUGGUUCUCUCUGCUUCCCCAAUUUCUCAGCCUGCUGGCCCCUGGCUUUCUUUCACUACCACCAAGAGCCCCCUUCUGAAAUCACUCUUUCAAAUGUCACUGAUGAUAGUUGUCAAUCCCAUGGCUUCUUUUGGUCCUCAACCUACUUGACCUUUCUUGCAGUCAAUAUAGUUAACCACUUCCUCUUAAAAAUUCCCUAGUCUUCCACAAAUCUAUGGUCUCCUUGUUCUCCUCCCUUGUUACUUCACAAAUUCCUUCAUUAGUUCUCUUUCUGCCGGUCCCUUCAAUGCAAGUGCUCCCUAGAGUAAUGCUACUCAAAGUGUAGUUCUUGGACCAGUGACAGUCUGCGAACUGUUUGUGUUUAGUCCACAAGGAAAUAAGUACAGAAAUUAAAAGGAUAAGUGCUUAGCAGUGUUUAUAUCAAUUUGACAUUUCAGGAAUAUCCGAGUGCAUGAUCAUUGGACAUUGCUUGUUAAACAGUUCAGGUAUUCUUCAACCUGGUUCUUGAGUUGCAGGUGGCAUGGUUGUGUCCCUGUCAUAUGCAAUAGUACGAUAUUACAAUGAGUAAAAUUUCAAGGUUUGUCACCUGCAACCCAAGAGUAAAAAUCUAUGAAAAUGUAAAUAUUUAUUUACUUAUAUAACUUGUUAUUUUUACAAUCAUUUUCAUUUUUAAUCAAGCCUAUUUUUUGUAAAUUCUUAGCUAAAUUAGGGGAGUAAAAUUUGUGUCAUUUGUUUUUAACCCUAAAUUAUAGAUGGCAAAACAAUCCUUACUGUCCAAUUUUGCCAAUACAAGACACACAUCAGUAAUGUGUUAGUAAUCACAGUAGUAAACUAAAUAAUGAUCAGAGAAGUAAUUCCAAAGAAUUAAACAAAUAGGAGUUUGUACUAAUUUUACUCAGAAGUAUAAUCCCUUGUUAUUGAGUUUGUAGCCAUAACUCAUAGUGAAGUGCUAAAAUCAUUACAGACUAAUGAAACAAUAAAGCCAUCAAACUUAAAGGACAUUUAUAUACAAAAUAUUAAAAAACUAAUUAUAAAUUUGAUAAAAUAUCUGAGUAUUUUCUAUCAAAACAAGCUCCACAUGCAAGAAAUUCAUGGAUCCAAAAUCCGUUUAUUUCAUUGAAAGAUAACUUGAGUGACAGUUUUUGAAACUGGCUACUGAUGAAAGAUUGAAGAUGAAUUUUGAAAAUAACGCAUUGUUUCCAUCAUUAAGGAUAAAAGUUAAAAGUGAUUAUCCUGAUAUUGUUAAAUUGCUUUAAGUCUUCUUCUGUUCCCUUCAACAUAUUUUUGAGAGACUAGUUUUUCUACUACUAGUGUUGUUAAAAUAAAAUAUAAAAACAAUUUAGAUAUACAUCAUCUCCUGCAAGUAGCAUGUCACCAAUCCAACCUAGAUUAGAUAAUUUAACAAGCAAAGAGCCCACUCAUUUCUCACAUUAAAACUUCAAAUAUUAACAUUCAUGUUGUUUAGUGGGAAAUUACUACUUCACUCCCAACUUUUUGUUAGUUGUUACGGCUGUGAGGUGAUAAAUAUUAGGAGGAUAAUGGCAAUUCUCUUUAUUAAUUAUCUAUCUGGACACUUUCAAUAAGCAAUGUACAUUUUGUAAUUUUUUCUUUUAUUUAUGUUUGUUCUGAUAAUUUUUAUUGAAAUGUAAUUCUAUUUCUGUUUAAUCUAAAAAAUGUGAGCUUGUACAAUA